UACGUAGGGUCCGAGCGUUGUCCGGAAUUAUUGGGCGUAAAGGGCUCGUAGGCGGUUCGUCACGUCGGGAGUGAAAACUCGGAGCUUAACUCCGAGCCUGCUUCCGAUACGGGCAGACUAGAGGUAGGCAGGGGAGAGCGGAACUCCUGGUGUAGGCGGUGAAAUGCGCAGAUAUCAGGAGGAACACCGGUGGCGAAGGCGGUUCUCUGGGCAUUACCUGACGCUGAGGAGCGAAAGUGUGGGGAGCGAACAGG
rnacentral:rRNA from 1 species